GGAGAGAUGCCGGAGUGGUCGAACGGGGCGGUCUCGAAAACCGUUGAGCGUGCAAGCGUUCCCAGGGUUCGAAUCCCUGUCUCUCCGCCA
rnacentral:tRNA from 1 species